GGCGCUUUGCCGGAGUGGUUAACGGGUGUCCCUGCUAUUCGACCUUGUGGUCCAGCACAGGAUAUGGUCUCUGACCGCGUGUGUUCGAAUCGCACAGGCGUCG